rnacentral:rRNA from 1 species
AAAUUGAAGAGUUUGAUCAUGGCUCAGAUUGAACGCUGGCGGCAGGCCUAACACAUGCAAGUCGAACGGUAACAGGAAGCAGCUUGCUGCUUUGCUGACGAGUGGCGGACGGGUGAGUAAUGUCUGGGAAACUGCCUGAUGGAGGGGGAUAACUACUGGAAACGGUGGCUAAUACCGCAUAACGUCGCAAGACCAAAGAGGGGGAUCUUCGGGCCUCUUGCCAUCAGAUGUGCCCAGAUGGGAUU